rnacentral:rRNA from 1 species
GACGAACGCUGGCGGCGUGCUUAACACAUGCAAGUCGAACGGAAAGGCCCUGCUUUUGUGGGGUGCUCGAGUGGCGAACGGGUGAGUAACACGUGAGUAAUCUGCCCUUGACUUUGUGAUAACUUCAGGAAACUGGGGCUAAUACCGGAUAGGAGCUCCUGCUUCAUGGUGGGGGUUGGAAAGUUUCGGCGGUUGGGGAUGGACUCGCGGCUUAUCAGCUUGUUGGUGGGGUAGUGGCUUACCAAGGCUUUGCCGGGUAGCCGGCCUGAGAGGGUGACCGGCCAGAUUGGGACUGGAAUACGGCCCGGACUCCUACGGGAGGCAGCAGUGGGGAAUAUUGCACAAUGGGAGGAAGCCUGAUGCAGCAACGCCGCGUGCGGGAUGACGGCCUUCGGGUUGUAAACCGCUUUCGCCUGUGACGAAGCGUGAGUGACGGUAAUGGGUAAAGAAGCACCGGCUAACUACGUG